GUGCUUGCUCUUGUCCAUAAGGUGGCCUGGUGCUUGUGGUGGGGAUACACCUUGGGGCCAGUCGCUGCGCCAUCUGGUGAAGUGUUUCGACAACGUUUUACGGGGAAAAAUUGCGCCUGGCAGAACAAUUGCAGUAACGAGAUUGGAGCAAUCACUCAAUGCAUGACAGGAAGAAGAAACUGGCGAUAGAAGGUGAAAAAGUCCGAGCAGUUUUGCCUGAUGCAACAAAUGAGAGAAAGAGGAAAUACCAGAGUCAAAGAGACUGAUGAUAUAAAAAUGGAUAGUAAAUGAAGAAAGAGAUAUGAAGACAGUGGAAAUAAGAAGAAAACAGUGAACAUUGAAACAACAGGCAGCAAAUACCAAAUAUACAGAUGAUGGCAGAGUAUGAAGCAAAAUUUGAAGAAGUAGAUCACAGGUAAGGAUUGUGGAAGUUGUGCAGAUUGAGGUUAGAGAGGAGGGAUUGGAACGGGAAAUACGAU